GGCCUAACACAUGCAAGUAUCGAGCGGAAACGACACUAACAAUCCUUCGGGUGCGUUAAUGGGCGUCGAGCGGCGGACGGGUGAGUAAUGCCUAGGAAAUUGCCUUGAUGUGGGGGAUAACCAUUGGAAACGAUGGCUAAUACCGCAUAAUGCCUACGGGCCAAAGAGGGGGACCUUCGGGCCUCUCGCGUCAAGAUAUGCCUAGGUGGGAUUAGCUAGUUGGUGAGGUAAUGGCUCACCAAGGCGACGAUCCCUAGCUGGUCUGAGAGGAUGAUCAGCCACACUGGAACUGAGACACGGUCCAGACUCCUACGGGAGGCAGCAGUGGGGAAUAUUGCACAAUGGGCGAAAGCCUGAUGCAGCCAUGCCGCGUGUAUGAAGAAGGCCUUCGGGUUGUAAAGUACUUUCAGUUGUGAGGAAGGGGGUAGCGUUAAUAGCGCUAUCUCUUGACGUUAGCAACAGAAGAAGCACCGGCUAACUCCGUGCCAGCAGCCGCGGUAAUACGGAGGGUGCGAGCGUUAAUCGGAAUUACUGGGCGUAAAGCGCAUGCAGGUGGUUCAUUAAGUCAGAUGUGAAAGCCCGGGGCUCAACCUCGGAACUGCAUUUGAAACUGGUGAACUAGAGUACUGUAGAGGGGGGUAGAAUUUCAGGUGUAGCGGUGAAAUGCGUAGAGAUCUGAAGGAAUACCAGUGGAGAAGGCGGCCCCCUGGUCAGAUACUGACACUCAGAUGCGAAAGCGUGGGGAGCAAACAGGAUUAGAU
rnacentral:rRNA from 1 species